rnacentral:rRNA from 1 species
AUUGAACGCUGGCGGCAGGCCUAACACAUGCAAGUCGAACGAGUGGCGGACGGGUGAGUAAUGUCUGGGAAACUGCCUGAUGGAGGGGGAUAACUACUGGAAACGGUAGCUAAUAACGCAUACCAUCGGAUGUGCCCAGAUGGGAUUAGCUAGUCGGUGGGGUAAAGGCUCACCUAGGCGACGAUCCCUAGCUGGUCUGAGAGGAUGACCAGCUCCCCUGGAACUGAGACACGGUCCAGACUCCUACGUGAGGCAUCCGUGGUGAAUAUUGCACAAUGGGCGCAAGCCUGAUGCAGCCAUGCCGCGUGUGUUAAGAAGGCCUUCGGGUUGUAAAGCACUUUCAGCGAGGAGGCGUUACUCGCAGAAGAAGCACCGGCUAACUCCGUGCCAGCCGCCGCGGUAAUAC